GUGAUAGCCACCAUGUCCUUGAGAUUCUUGAUGUGUGGUUUCAGGGGAUUUACUGUCAUGUGCGUUGACCAUACCCAGUCAGGUGAUGUAAGCAUGUCUUGCAAAUAAAAUGUUCCCAACUUGUUGUAUGAGCCACCCCCUUUCCAAUACAUUCCCAUUACGUAUUCCCCGGCGUCACCUGGGCUGGGGUGUUCUAUGUUUAAG